rnacentral:lncRNA from 1 species
AAACAUCAGGAAACUUAUUAACUACACUGACUAACUGAAUUAUUAGUCUCAGAAUUUGUGUCUUUGACUCGAACUAGAUGGUAAAUACAACCUUUGGAUAUCAAAUGUCUGGCCUUAAGAUAAGAUAUGAAAUGACUCUCGGGAGACACUGAAUCACCUGACCACUCAAAGACUGGCUCAUCUGGGAACUAAAACUUUACCACUCGAGUGUGACAAUCUAUUGUUACAUAAUAAGAAUUG